rnacentral:lncRNA from 1 species
AAGAGGAGGAUCUACGACGGCGAUUUCGCCGCCCCCCCCCCCCCCCCCGCCNCCCACGCCCUCCUGGGCAGGACGGCGGCAAACGCCCGCCCGGCCGCACCCCCCGUCCCCUCCCCCUCGCGGCCGUCCAGCCUCCGGCCAGGUCCCCGGGAAACCCCGGGCGACAGCUGCGGGCGCCCGAGCAGGGUCCGGGGGGCGGGGGGAGGCCGCGAAGAGGGGGCGACGCCACCAUUUGUUAGCAGCCCGCGGACGCCCCGGGACCCGGAGGCGGCGAGAUCCCGCGCGCCCGCCGGCGGCCCGGGGCCUCCAGGUCGCCCCCUUGCAGCGGAGAGCGGCGACACCGGCCCCGGCGCGUCCUCCGGGAGGGGGGAGGGGGGAAGGCCCCCUCCCCCCUCCCCGCUGCAAACGCGCGGGGGCCGCCCGCGAGGGGAGGGGGGGCAGGAGCGCGGGAGGGCCCCGCACCCCAAAUUCGGCCUCCCGGGCCACAGAGCCGGUCGCAGAGCGGAGCUUAACGCAGCUCCCGGAGGGAAACACACCCGCCCGAGGGGUCGUGGGAAGCCCUUCCCCGCCCCUCUCCACACCGCCGCCGCGAGACCCACCUUCCGCUUCUUUCAGCAGCUGAGAAACUGGGGGGCGUUUAUGGCGCCCCGGGAGGAAGGCUCGCAGGCUGAGAGAAUGUCACCUCUGAGGCACCCUUUUCUCUCCCCCCUCCCCUCACACACACACACGCACAACUUGAACUCCUCGCCAGCGGUCGCCGCCCAGCCGCCGGCCCCCUUGCGCCCACCUGGCUGCCGGCUUCUGACACCCCAAGCCCCCACUUUCUCCCAAACACCUCCCCUCCCCCUCCAUUUGGGAGCGGAGGGAGGGCCCCCCCCCGCUUCAAUGCGGAAAUGUCCCCGCGGCUCCUACAGGCAGGAGCAACCGCCAAUCAGGAGCCGAGGCGGACGCAAGGCCUGGCCAAUGAGACGCGCGGAGGUGGCAGGGGGCGGGGCGUCCGCGAGGGAGCCCCGCGGAGGUGGGCGCGCUGAGCCGGACCCCGGGAGGCGUCUGAGGGAGCCGCACGUGCGGCGGCGGGGCAGGGGGUGUCUCACCGGGUAG